GGGACAACAGUUGGAAACGACUGCUAAUACCGCAUAAGCCCACAGGUCGGCAUCGACCAGAGGGAAAAGGAGCAAUCCGCUUUGAGAUGGCCUCGCGUCCGAUUAGCUAGUUGGUGAGGUAAUGGCCCACCAAGGCGACGAUCGGUAGCCGGACUGAGAGGUUGAACGGCCACAUUGGGACUGAGACACGGCCCAGACUCCUACGGGAGGCAGCAGUGGGGAAUAUUGCACAAUGGGGGAAACCCUGAUGCAGCGACGCCGCGUGGAGGAAGAAGGUCUUCGGAUUGUAAACUCCUGUUGUUGAGGAAGAUAAUGACGGUACUCAACAAGGAAGUGACGGCUAACUACGUGCCAGCAGCCGCGGUAAAACGUAGGUCACAAGCGUUGUCCGGAAUUACUGGGUGUAAAGGGAGCGCAGGCGGGAAGACAAGUUGGAAGUGAAAUCUAUGGGCUCAACCCAUAAACUGCUUUCAAAACUGUUUUUCUUGAGUAGUGCAGAGGUAGGCGGAAUUCCCGGUGUAGCGGUGGAAUGCGUAGAUAUCGGGAGGAACACCAGUGGCGAAGGCGGCCUACUGGGCACCAACUGACGCUGAGGCUCGAAAGUGUGGGUAGCAAACAGGAUUAGAUACCCUGGUAGUCCACACCGUAAACGAUGAUUACUAGGUGUUGGAGGAUUGACCCCUUCAGUGCCGCAG
rnacentral:rRNA from 1 species